rnacentral:lncRNA from 12 species
GUUUGGGCAGGUGGGGGCAGGGAUGCUCAUGGCAGGGCAGAAAGAACAACAUCUUGUCUGCUUGUGCAUGAGUGCAAAGCCUGGGGGUCACGAGGUCCUGUUUACCUGUGGCAGGUAUUUCCUCUAUGGGCUGAUAAGAGCCGACCAGGGGAAGUGCUCCGUCACAGAGAGUUUCAGGAGGAAGGAUUGCUGGAAGAGAUCAGUGGGAGCCACUGAGUGGGCAGAGAAAAAUAGCCAGGCCAGUGAAGAUGGAUGGGUGACAGUCCCAUCGGUCACAGCGAUUCAGCGCUCAGUCACCACGGAGACAAGCAGUGAAACCGGGAAUGCUGGAAGGCCACAACCUGAGAAAAAAAUUAUAUGGAAAAGAAAGCAGAUUCAAUUUUAUAAAUGUAAAUCACAAACUGAUAAAUGCAGUUGGUACUUUCCAUGAAUGCAGACCCAUUAUUUUGGGACUAUUGGACAAUGUUUUUUUUUUUUAAUUAUUACAGACAGAAAUCUUAUGUUUUUUGCUGUGAAAA